rnacentral:lncRNA from 1 species
GCGAGGGAGGCGGGGAAACGAAGGAGAUGCGAUUCCGCGGCGUGAGGAAGCGGCCGUGGGGACGGUACGCGGCGGAGAUCCGCGACCCCGCCAAGAAGAGCCGCGUCUGGCUCGGAACCUUCGACACCGCGGAGGAGGCGGCGCGGGCCUACGACACCGUCGCCCUCCAGUUCCGCGGCCCCAAGGCUAAGACCAACUUCCCAAUCUUCACCGCCGCCGCUGGAGCCGGAACCGCCCCAUCCAGCCCCAGCAGCAGCGGCAACACCGUCGAGUCCUCCACCCCUUCCGCGCCCCCUCCACUGGAACUCGAGCUCGGCCAUGCGGCCGCUCGUUUCCCCUUCCUUCACGCGCGUCCGUUCUUGUUCCUAGGCGCUGCUUCGAGAUCGGAUGCGGCGGCGGCCUCGGCGGCGUUAACUGGGUUCAAGGGAAUCGGGACGAGGGUCUCACCGACGGUGAUGGCGGCGCAAGCGAGGCGUCUUCCCUUCGAUUUGGAUCUCAACCUGCCGCCGCCGCCGGAGGUGGCUUGAUCCCAACGCCUACAGAUCUUGACAGAACCCACGAACAAAAUUAUCUAAUAGUAUAUACAUAUCUUUAUGUUUUUUUGGAGCUGGGGAGAGAGAGGGAGAUCCAACUCGGUGUACUUUCCUGUACAGGAAAGAGUUCAUGCC